rnacentral:rRNA from 1 species
CCUACGGGAGGCUGCAGUGGGGGAUAUUGCACAAUGGGGGGAACCCUGAUGCAGCGACGCCGCGUGGGUGAAGAAGGGCCUCGGCGCGUAAAGCCCUGUCAGCAGGGAAGAAAAUGACGGUACCUGAAGAAGAAGCCCCGGCUAACUACGUGCCAGCAGCCGCGGGAAUACGUAGGGGGCAAGCGUUAUCCGGAUUUACUGGGUGUAAAGGGGGCGCAGACGGCGAUGCAAGCCAGGAGUGAAAGCCCGGGGCCCAACCCCGGGACUGCUCUUGGAACUGCGUGGCUGGAGUGCAGGAGAGGCAGGCGGAAUUCCUGGUGUAGCGGUGAAAUGCGUAGAUAUCAGGAGGAACACCGGUGGCGAAGGCGGCCUGCUGGACUGCAACUGACGUUGAGGCCCGAAAGCGUGGGGAGCAAACAGGAUUAGAUACCCCGGUAGUC